GCGGAUGUGGCGCAAUGGCAGACGCGGCCAUUCGAGAGGCGGCUUGUUGCGGGUUCAAGUCCCGCCAUCCGCACCA
rnacentral:tRNA from 1 species